UACGUAGGGUGCGAGCGUUAAUCGGAAUUACUGGGCGUAAAGUGUGCGCAGGCGGCCGAGCAAGUCGAGUGUGAAAGCCCCGGGCUUAACUUGGGAAUUGCGCUCGAAACUACGAUGCUGGAGUGUGGCAGAGGAAGGUGGAAUUCCACGUGUAGCGGUGAAAUGCGUAGAGAUGUGGAGGAACACCGAUGGCGAAGGCAGCCUUCUGGGCCAACACUGACGCUCAUGCACGAAAGCGUGGGGAGCAAACAGG
rnacentral:rRNA from 1 species